rnacentral:siRNA from 1 species
CUUCUUGAACUUCAACAAUACUGC